CCCAACGUGUUGUUUACGUGUAAAGACACGUUGUAACACGUUUGUGCUUUUCUUACCUUAAUUUAACUCAUGAUUCGAUUGUAUCCUUUUCCACAUGCUUGGACGGCUAAUUUGGACGGCUAUUUUUUCUUAAUGAAACAUUUUAAGUGGUCAUUACUGAUUCUUUGUUGUUUUUGAAAAAGCAUUGUCAUAACUAAAUCAAAUUAGUUGUUUGCACUAAUCAGACGAAGUAUUGAGCGCACUGAUCAUGUUAAGCUGUGAUAACUCGGAAUAUUAUGCUUUUGCGAGGGAGGGAGGGGCCUAUUGGAACAGGUGACUGACAGUGAGAGGAGCGCGCUGUUUGAAAAGCCUGCUCGUCCUGGCCGAUGCUGCACGCUAAACAUGGAUUUUUAAAAGAAACUUUAAACGGUCCAUAAGCCAGAUGGUGGACACUGUCCUGCCAUUUUUACAGGAGAUCAGGUGUUCGUGGAGUUGAACAGGAUUGUGGGAAAGAACCUUAAGCAGGAAUACUAUGAAAGCAUUGAUCAACACAGUCUUCAUCUAAUUGAUAUCUUUCGAUCUAAGAGAGGGAAUGCUGGACAGCUGUUGACCCAAACCAGGACUCAAGAGCCAACUGAUAUUACAUCACUGGUGCUCAGAGGGCUCCCGAUUGUCCUUGGUGACAACCCCAAAAGCUUCUUCAAAGCAUGCUUUGACUCCGAUGGUGAUCACUCAUUUUGCCACCAUGACUUUGGGAUCCCCCUUGAGCAUGAAGGUGCUGUGCUCCCAUCUUCCCUUCAUCUCAAUCCAGCUUCAAUUAAGAUCAUCAUUGAGGGAGAAGUUGUGAUGGAAGGUAUUAAAGACUUGCCAAAAGAUGUGUGCAUUCUCUUUGGACUUGCAUAUGCACUGUAUCUCAACUACCCCAAAUCAACGAACACAUUCCAGUUCACCCAACAAGUACUUCUCAUAUUGGGCCACAGUGAACUAAAACCCAGCUUACAAACAUUAAAAAAAAAAAAAAAAAAGUGUACAAUUUGAUAUUCACAAAGGAACUAUAGAAUUUACCAUGUUUUUUGUUCUCAAGAAGGGUGAAGAUUCUUUUUCAGAUAGUCCAGUCACUGCAGUAAGUGCUCUAAAGUUUACCAGUGUUCUGCGCUAAAAGUGUACUGUAUAUUUAAAACGGCAUAUUGUUGCUCUAUUGAUAAGAGAAAAGUUGUCAACAGAUGGAGUGUGUGAGUGAGUGUGUGUGUGUGUGUGUGUGUGUGUGUGUGUGUGUGUGUGCGUGUGUGGUCUUUUUCUUUAAUCUUUAAUUUUCAUUCAUCUUAAUGCUUGUCUGCAUAUUGUUGAAUACUGUUAAUUUUCCUCCUCUAAACAAUUUACAAUUGUUAAGCAAAAAGAUUUGCUUAUGCAAAAAAAUGUUUUACUUGUCUUUUUGGUUGACAAAUUGAGUACAUUGAAG